rnacentral:rRNA from 1 species
CGGGGUGGAGUAACGCGUGGGUAACCUGCCUCAUACAGGGGGAUAACAGUUAGAAAUGGCUGCUAAUACCGCAUAAGACCACAGUACUGCAUGGUACAGUGGUAAAAACUCCGGUGGUAUGAGAUGGACCCGCGUCUGAUUAGGUAGUUGGUGAGGUAACGGCCCACCAAGCCGACGAUCAGUAGCCGACCUGAGAGGGUGACCGGCCACAUUGGGACUGAGACACGGCCCAG